AUACGAAGGGGGCUAGCGUUGUUCGGAAUCACUGGGCGUAAAGGACGCGUAGGCGGGUUGGCAAGUCAGAUGUGAAAUCCUACAGCUUAACUGUAGAACUGCAUUUGAAACUGCUAACCUAGAGUAUGGGAGGGGGAGAUGGAAUUAGUGGUGUAGGGGUAAAAUCCGUAGAUAUCACUAGGAAUACCGAAAGCGAAGGCGAUCUCCUGGAACAUAACUGACGCUAAGGCGUGAAAGCGUGGGGAGCAAACAGGAUUAGAUACCCUAGUAGUCC
rnacentral:rRNA from 1 species